rnacentral:RNase_P_RNA from 1 species
UGAGUAAAUCAGACAAUCGCGGGCACAAAUGCCGAAAGGCUGUGUCUGAGGAAAGUCCGGGCUCCACAGGGCAGAAUAACUGAUAACGUCAGCCGAGGGUGACCUUAGGGAGAGUGCAACAGAGAUAUACCGCCUGCUUUUGCAGGUAAGGGUGGAAAGGCGAGGUAAGAGCUCACCGACUGCGAGGUAACGAAGCAGUCCUGUAAACCCUAUUCGGAGCAACACCGUAUACAAGGCGUCAAGGUGGCCCGCCGUGCCUUAGAGGUGGCAUAAUUUAUAUGGUGACAUAUAAAUAAGAUAGAUGAUUGUCUAAUACAGAACCCGGCUUACAGAUUUACUCAUUUU